CCUGCUGAGUUCCUCCGGCAUGUUGUGUGUUUUGCUUUGGGUAUCCAGCAUCUGCAGAAUCUCCCGUGUUUAAGGCAAUCUUUAGUUCAUUAUUGUCACAUGUAUGCUGAAAGUCUCAUCUCGUGUAAUCGUUCAUAGGGAUCAGAUCAUUUGCACAGUAGAAGGUAGGCGGCCAGAACCAGGAGACUUGAACCCAGAACCUUCUGAACUCCAGCUGACAUGGAUCACCAUCCAAGAAAUUCCCCCAGAGUCCCCUGGUGGAACGAGGAACUCUGAAUUCCGCUGGUUGAUGUGCUGAUGCCGAGGGCCAGGGGAGAGUGCAGUUAAUCGCGCAAGUAUGGAUGUCAGACUGCAGUUAUAAUUGAAUCAUAGGGAGGUCCUGAGUUUAGUGGCUUUUGCUAAAAGUGGGGGAGGAGAGGGAAAUCAAGGGAUGCUUUUGAAAGAGCAAUGCAACAGUCCGAACAAAAUCCAGCACAUUUCUGAGCCCUGAUGGAAGGGAGCUAGAGAGAGGGGGCCUCAACAACUAAUCAUUUGGCCUCUCUCCACCCACCUCCCAGAACAUAAUACAUCUUGGCCGUUGCCACGGUACCAGAGCCCUCGAUCAAUAUGUAUGUUUUCCUUUCACGUCUGGUCGCAGACAUCCUCUUCUCUCCAUGACCGGACUGAGAUUUUAAGGAAAAUGAAAGAGGGAAUUAUAUCAAGGAAUGACUUAUAUUUAAACACAAACGCUCACAUAGUAGAGCCAAGUCCUGUGGUUGGUCAAGGGUCAGUCCUGCAGCUAUUGAGAUGCUUUGGCUGAUGAACCUUGAACUUUGGCAUCUGGGGUCAAAGCCAAGACCUCUACAGAGUGUCCUUCGUCAAGAAUUAACAAGUGUGACAGCGUCCUGUCCCUUCACUAGACGCUUAAACAGUGUAAACAGGGACAUCUGGAAUGAGACCUUUCAGCUCAACAGUUAAAAAUGAUCAUGAAUCAACAGUUGUAUUCAUAAAUCUUCAGGACUAAUUAUAUUAAAGGGGGAAUCUAAGGAAGGCUCUAUGGAAACAGCACAACUUAUCAGACGUUUCAAUCAAAUCAUCAAGAUAAGUAUUUUCAGUCUGCGUCCUUUUUCUCGGAGCAUUUUUAAGUUCUGCUUGUUAUCACAAACACUUCUCAAUGGUAAAUAUUAACGAGCUCGGUCUUUUUAAUUAAAAUAAAGGGAGACUGCUAGGGCCCGCCGUAACCACUGGCAACAUAGCAGCUAAAUAAUGCACGUCCUUUCAUCGUCCAGAAGCCUCGAGCCUGGUGGCUGGAGUUAUUCAGUCCUGCUCAUUGGGGGAUGCCAAGGAGUGAGGGUGGCAAUGGGGUGCAAGGUGCCAGCCUUGCCAACUAAAGCCCCAUGCCAGUCUCAGCAGGGCUGUACAAUGGAAGUGAGCUAGCGAGAGUGUAAAAAUAAAAGGAAGAAAAGCAAGACAAGUGAAGACUUAUAAGUAAAUUUUAAGAAUUGCAUUUAUAUUAGAGUUAUAGAGUCAUACAGCACAGAAACAGGCCAUUUGGCCCAUCUGUUCUAUGGUAACUGCCUCACUGUAUUGUUUUCUUUUAACUGUCCCAAUCUAAUUUUCUUCUAGAAUAAUCUCCAUCCUCCGGUGGCCUACAGCCACCAGAAUCAGAAUCUGAAUCUGAAUCAGAUUUAAUUUCACCAGGAUAUAUUGUGAAAUGUCGAGCAAGAUAAAUAGCAAGGUAUUGUUCAUGGGCUCACGGUCCAUUCAGAAAUCAGAUGGAAAAGGGGAAGAAGCUGUUUCUGAAUCAUUGAGUGUGUGACUUCAGGUUCCUGUACCUCCUUCCUGAUGGUAGCAAUGAGAAGAGGGCAUGGGCUAGGUGAUUGGAGUUCUUAAUGAUGGAUGCCGCCUUUAUGAAGUGCUCUGACUGCCUGCAAGUUCCUUUAAGAAUCACCCACAUGGGCUUGUGCCUGGAGUCACACGCAGGCCAUUGCCCCUCAACCAUCAGGCCCUUGAACCAGAGGGGAUAAUGUUACUCACUCCAACUCUGAGCUGUUCACAGAUUCACUUCUAACAACUCACCAUCAUCUCAUUUUCUCCAUAUUUAUUGCUUAUUUAUUUAUUAUUAUUAUUUUUUCCUUUUGCAUUUGCACAGUUUGUUGUCUUUUACACACUGGUUGUCCAUCCUACACACCUUCUCAGCAUCUGCAGAUUUCCUCGUGGUUGUCCACCCUGUUGGAUAUGGUCCUUGAUUGAUUCUAUUGUGUUUCUUGGAUUUAUUGUGUAUGUCCACAAGAAAAUGAAUCUUGGGGUUUUAUAUGGUGAUAUAUAUGUACUUUGAUAAUAACUUUCACUACAGACCUGUUUGCACUAAUCCACUGUACUCAGACUUUGCAGUCAACGGUCCUCAGAAACUACCACGCACGCACACACAGAUGGCAGAAGGAACCAGUUCUGAUGACCCCCGGGUUCACAAAUCGGCAGCCGUUAAACAAGAAACCCAAAGAACCCAUUAAAAAAAAAGACUGACAGACACCCAAAAUGCCAAGAGUAAAACAAAUCAUGCAAGCAAUAAAAGCAAGAAAAUAGCACUUAGAACAAAAGUGAGUCGUCAGAUGCAGAGCCCCGAGCAGGCGGAGCAGGCCCACAGCUUCAGCCUCAGUGCAGCGAAGAGCAGGGUAAACGUCGCCAAGUUUACCGGCCCGACCUCACUUCUGGUCCCGACACCCUGCCUUUCUAAUCUGUCUGGACUGGUGCCAACAUUUUCAAAUCCAAAUGGGCCCAGCACUUAGAUCGAUGAAACCUCGUUCUCAGUAUAGGUGGACGAGCUCCAAAUUUGCCUUUCGAUCGCUCCAACUUUUCUCCACUUCACAGUGCCGAUCUCAUCUCAAAUGUGCCUUGACCUCCCCCUGACUUGCCUCGCAGCCACACACUUCAACACUUGGUGCAGCCUCGCCUUCGCUCGCCUUUUCUUUGUUUGUGGUCAAACUAUAAUUUUUCACAGAAAAAAAGUAUGUCAUUGCUGAAAUAUUUAGUUGUAUUACUUGUUCUGGGAACUUGCCCUCAGCAGCACCAUCUUAAACCGGAACCACGAUGUAUGCAUCAUGUCUUGAUGUACAGAUGAUUAUAAACUUGAAUAUUGAGUUAACCCACCAACUCCUACACUUUUGGAAUGUGGGAGGAAACUCGAGCCCCAAGAGGAAGCUGACAAUGACAGGGCAAGCAUGCAAACUCCACACAGGUGGUGUUGAACCCAGGUCACUGGGGCUUUGAGUGAGUGGCUCUACCAUUGUGCCGCCUCAUAUUCAGUCACUGUCCUCUGGAUCAAGGAACAGAUUACCCAAAAGCUGCCAAUGUGCUUUCAUUUGUCCUAUUAAACUCUGACUUUCGAUGGGGGUGGAGGGGCUUGACUCAGUUACGUGCUCAUUUCAAAGUUCAAUAUUCAAAGUAAAUUCAUUAUCACAGUCAAAGUUAAUAUAUUAUCAAAGUAUGUAUACAAUCAGUGGCCAUUCAAUUAGGUAUUUUCUGUACCUAACAAUGUGGCCACUGGGUUAUAUAUUUGUGGUCUUCUGAAGCUGUAGCCUAUCAACUUCAAGACUCAACAUGUUAUGAAUUCAGAGAUGCUCUUCUGCACACCACUGUUGUAAUGCGUGGUUAUUUGAGUUACUGACAGCUUUAACCAGACUGGCCAUUCUCCUCUGCCCUCUCUCAUUAACAAGGUGUUUUUGCCCACAGAACUGCCACUCACUGGAUGUAAUUUUGUUUUCACACCAUUCUCUGUAAACUUUACAGAUGGGUGUGUGUGAAAAUCCCAGAAAAUGGGUGCAGUUUCUGAGAUACUCAAACUACCCCAUCUGGCACCAAUAAUCAUUCCAUGGUCAAAGUCACUUCAAUCACAUUUCUUCCUCAUUCUGAUGUUUGAUCUGAACAACAACUGAACCUCUUAACCAUGUUUGCAUGCUUUUAUGCAUCGAGUUGCUGCAUCGUGAUUGGUUGAUCAGAUAUUUGCAUUAACGAUCACGUGAACAGGCGGACCUAAUGAAGUGGCUACUGAGGAUGUUAUCAUUCAUUUUCUUGCAGGUAUUAAAAGGAAAAAUAAAUAAGUACAAUAGAAUCUAUGAAAAGCUAUACACAAAGACUGACAAACAGCCAAUGUACAAAGUAAAAUAAAUGGCAAAUAAAAAAAUACUGAGAACAUGAGUAGUAAAGAGUCCUUGAAAGUGAGUCUGUAGAUGAUAGAAUCAGUUCAGAAUAAUGGUGAGUGAAGAUAUUUACACUGGUUCACGAGCCGAUGGUUGUCGGAUAACUACUCCUGAACCUGGUGGUGUACUUCCUGCCCGACGGUACUAGCGAGUAAAGAACAUGGACUAGGUGGCAGGGGGUCCCUGAUGAUGGAUGCUGCUUUCUCAUGGCAAUGCUCCGUGUAAAUGUGCUCUAUGAUAGGGAGAGCAUUACCUGUGAUGGACUGGGCUGUAGUCACCACUUUCUGUAGACCUUUCCAUUCCUGGAUAUUAGUGUUUCCAUACCAGGCCAUGAUGCAAACAAUUAGGAUAAUCUCCACUCUCCAUCCAUGGAAGUUUGUCAGUGUUUCAUGUGACAUGCCAAAUCUACGCAAACUUCGAAGAAAAUCGAGGAGUUGCUGUGCCUUCUUUGUGAUGGCACUUAUAUGCUAGUGGAAGAGUACACAGAGGAAUACCUCCUUGUAAAUUACAAUGUAAAUUAAACACAAUGCAAAUUAAACUAAAUGUCUUCUGCCACAUCCCUCCAUAUCUAUAUGUCUAUCUAACAGCCUUUAAAUGCCACUAUCAUAUCUAUAUCCUCCGCCACCGUUCCUGGUACCCUCCAAUCUCUAUAGAAAAAACUUGAUCUGCACAUCCUCUUUAAACUUUUCCCCCCAUCAUGUGUUGGAUCCGACUGCUUAAUUCUUAGAUUAGACUAUUUAAUUAUUAUUUUCUUUGCAGUUUAACAAUUAUUUGUCUGCUUGUAUUUUACAUACAUACUUACAUACAAAUAACUGCUUACUAUGCUCCCUAGUGAUAGUAGUCUGUAUAUUCAAGCUCAGUGUAUCCCCUAGUGAUUAUAUUGGUGUAAUUCUGGAAAGUUCUAGAAACUUCUCUUGGUGAUGAAUUAUUUGAAUAGGAGCUUUCUUUUUGGUUAACUCGCAAAAAUGAAUUUGAAUGGAAUUUUCAUUAUCUAUGUACAAUAAAAGAUCAGACUCUUAGUCCCUUUAAACUUUUGACUCUCCCUCUCUUCAACUAGUAGACCUCUAUCACUGUCUGUUUUCAGCUCUCUCUUUGUUCUAUUAGUGCUUAAUAAUCAUCAAGCAAUAAGCUUUGUGCCUAUUUCGUGAUUUCUGAAAGAAUCUUGGAUUAAACCAUUAGAAUCCAACACAACUUAAAUACUUGUCCUCUUGUACUUGACAUUCCUGCUCUGGGAGAAAGAUACUGACUGUCAACCUUGUGUAUGACUCCUAGAAUCUUAUGAACUAGAGGGCAAGGAGGCAUAAUUUUGAAGUGAUUGGAGGAAAGUAUAGAGGGGAUAUCAGAGGCAGUUUUUUUUUACACAGAGAUUGGUGGAUACAUGGAAUGCCCUGCAUAAGUGGAGCUAGAGGCAGAUACAUUAAGGGCAUUUAAAAGAUUUUUAGAUAGGCACAUAGAUGAAAGAAAAAUGGAGGGCUAUGUGGGAGGGAAAGGUUAGAUUGACCUUAGAGUAGGUUAAAAGGUCAGCACAGCAUCAUGGACCAAAGAGUAUGUACUGUACUAUUUCUGCUUGGGGAGAAAAAAAAGAUUCUGAUUGUCUUUAAAGAAAGAGAUUAGUUUUAUUUAUCACAUGUACAUCAAAAUGUUAAAGCAUACAACCCCCACCACCAUAACUUUAUCAUUUCCUGUCAGAGUCACCUUAUGUACAGACACUUCUGUGUGAGUGUCACUUUAUUGACAUACAUUC